UCAGAAAGAGAAGAUAGCGGCGGUUGCCA
rnacentral:piRNA from 1 species